UCGUCAUCUACAUCGUCUUCACUUGUUCUUUGAUUUUGAUUUCUACUCAUGGACUGCAUAAAUUGUCUCAUUUGCUCCUCCAUAUCGUGUUGUCUUUUUUUCAUUUCCUCUAAUUCGGCCUUUAACGCCGCCUCACGCUCCGCCGUCUCUCGUCUAGCCUCUGUUAGAGCCAGUUGCCUCACCGUUUCCAUCAUUUCAGGUGUCAAUUGUGUUGGACGGGACGUUCCUUCCCCACUUGCAACUCUAUCAAAUAAAGUUCUAUCUCCGGUUCUGUAGUUGCCAGCCAAAGGACCAACACCAAAAAA
rnacentral:lncRNA from 1 species